GACGAACGCUGGCGGCGUGCUUAACACAUGCAAGUCGAACGGAAAGGCCCUGCUUUUGCGGGGUGCUCGAGUGGCGAACGGGUGAGUAACACGUGAGUAACCUGCCCUUGACUUUGGGAUAACUUCAGGAAACUGGGGCUAAUACCGGAUAGGAGCUCCUGCUGCAUGGUGGGGGUUGGAAAGUUUCGGCGGUUGGGGAUGGACUCGCGGCUUAUCAGCUUGUUGGUGGGGUAGUGGCUUACCAAGGCUUUGACGGGUAGCCGGCCUGAGAGGGUGACCGGCCACAUUGGGACUGAGAUACGGCCCAGACUCCUACGGGAGGCAGCAGUGGGGAAUAUUGCACAAUGGGCGGAAGCCUGAUGCAGCAACGCCGCGUGCGGGACGACGGCCUUCGGGUUGUAAACCGCUUUCGCCUGUGACGAAGCGUGAGUGACGGUAAUGAGUAAAGAAGCACCGGCUAACUACGUG
rnacentral:rRNA from 1 species